GACGAACGCUGGCGGCGUGCUUAACACAUGCAAGUCGAACGGAAAGGUCCUGCCUUUGUGGGGUGCUCGAGUGGCGAACGGGUGUGUAACACGUGAGUAACCUGCCCUUGACUUUGGGAUAACUUCAGGUAACUGUGGCUAAUACCGGAUAGGAGCUCUUGCUGCAUGGUGUGGGUGGGAAAGUUUCGGCGGUUGGGGAUGGACUCGAGGCUUAUCAGCUUGUUGGUGGGGUAGUGGCUUACCAAGGCUUUGACGGGUAGCCGGCCUGAGAGGGUGACCGGCCACAUUGGGACUGAGAUACGGCCCAGACUCCUACGGGAGGCAGCAGUGGGGAAGAUUGCACAAUGGGCGGAAGCAUGAUGCAGCAACGCCGCGUGCGGGAUGACGGCCAUCGGGUUGUAACCCGCUUUCGCCUGUGACGAGGAGUGAGUGACGGUAAUGGGUAAAGAAGCACCGGCUAACUACGUG
rnacentral:rRNA from 1 species